rnacentral:rRNA from 1 species
UCUAGCAUGUGCGCGAGUCAUUGGGACUUUUUUUUAGGAAAGCCCAGAGGCGCAAUGAAAGUGAAGAUCGGCCUUUUCGGCUCGAUCGAGGGAGGAUGACUCGUUGUUAUUUUAUAAUGAAGAGUUCGCACUCCCGGGGCGUCUCGGCGCUCAUUUCGAGCGGAGGCGCACCCAGAGCGUACACGCUGGGACCCGAAAGAUGGUGAACUAUGCCUGGUCAGGACGAAGUCAGGGGAAACCCUGAUGGAGGUCCGUAGCGAUUCUGACGUGCAAAUCGAUCGUCGGAACUGGGUAUAGGGGCGAAAGACUAAUCGAACCAUC